UGAAGGCUUCUCUGUUGCUUGUUGCUGCACUGCUAGCAGUGGCGGGGCUCCACGGGCAACCAGAAGAGUCGACCACCGCCAGCAUCGGAAAUGAGGAACUAAGCAUCGGCAAUAUCACGGCUGAGAGUAGAUUUCUGGGGAGGUCGUCUCACACGGAAGAUGACGACGAUACCAUUUGUGUCGCAGCAGACAACAAGUUCUACUUGUAUGCUAAUUCGCUGAAGCUGUAUUCUUGCUAAAACCAGCUACCGAAAGUUUACGUGGUGAAACCAAAGAGUCAGUGCAAACCAUACCUGUCAGAUUGUCCCAGGGACUAGGAGUAUUGCAAGUCCGUUGGCUCAGCUUGAAUCGUCUGCGAGGGAGUGAAGACAAAAAUGGCUGGCCUGCUCACUGAAGACAUCUGCUGUUUACAGAAGAGCCAAGAAACUGCAAGAGCGUCAGAACUUUCUGAUUACUUUACGACAUGCUGUAUAUUUCAUUGCUGUAAAGAUUAUUAUUAAAACAUC